rnacentral:tRNA from 1 species
AUUACGUUAGUAUAAUAAGUACAGCUGCCUUCCAAGUAGCAAGUUUGGCGACCAAACGUAAUA